rnacentral:rRNA from 1 species
AGCGUUGUUCGGAAUUACUGGGCGUAAAGAGCGAGCAGGUGGUUCAUUAAGUCAAUUGUGAAAGCUCAAGGCUUAACCUUGAAAUUGCUUUUGAUACUGAUGAACUAGAGUUUGGGAGAGGAUAGUGGAAUUCUAAGUGUAGAAGUGAAAUUCGUAGAUAUUUAGAGGAACACCGAUAGCGAAGGCAACUAUCUGGCCCUUUACUGACACUCAGAAGCGAAAGCUUGGGUAGCAAACAGGAUUAGAUACCCUGGUAGUCCAUGCUGUAAACGAUGAGUGCUAGAUGUUAGAAGUUUACUUCUAGUAUCGAAGCUAACGCGUUAAGCACUCCGCCUGGGGAGUACGGCCGCAAGGCUAAAACUCAAAUGAAUUGACGGGGACCCGCACAAGCAGUGGAGCAUGUGGUUUAAUUCGACGCUACGCGAAGAACCUUACCAGCUCUUGACAUGCUAAGUUAUGAAUUUAAGAGAUUAAAUUCUUCAGUUCGGCUGGGCUUAGUACAGGUGCUGCAUGGCUGUCGUCAGCUCGUGUCGUGAGAUGUUCGGUUAAGUCCGGCAACGAGCGCAACCCUCAUCUUCAGUUACUAACAGGUUAAGCUGAGGACUCUGGAGAAACUGCCGUUGGAAAAGCGGAGGAAGGCGAGGAUGACGUCAAGUCCUCAUGGCCCUUAUGGGCUGGGCUACACACGUGCUACAAUGGUAAUUACAAAAGGUCGCGAAAAGGCAACUUUGAGCUAAUCUUCAAAAAUUAUCUUAGUUCAGAUUGUUCUCUGCAACUCGAGAGCAUGAAGUGGAAUUGCUAGUAAUCGUGGAUCAGCAUGCCACGGUGAA